rnacentral:misc_RNA from 1 species
GAGAAGAACGUAGCGAAACGCGAUAGUUAAUGUGAAUUGCAGAAUUCAGUGAAUCAUCGAGUCUUUGAACGCACAUUGCGCCCAUUGGUAUUCCGUUGGGCAUGUCUGUUUGAGCGUCAUUACAACAGUUCAGCGUAAGCUGGUUAUGAGUUCUGUUUUUUUAAACAAAAAACAGGCUUUAAAAUGUAUGUUCUGCAGGUCGCUUUGCUAAACCCUAAACAUUAAAUACUGUUCUAGUGAAGCAUUUGCGACUCUGCCUGAAAAAAAACUUUUGUUAAAGUUUGACCUCAGAUCAGACAAGGAUACCCGCUGAACUUAAGCAUAUCAAUAAGCGGAGGA